UACGUAGGGUGCAAGCGUUGUCCGGAAUUAUUGGGCGUAAAGAGCUCGUAGGCGGUCUGUCGCGUCUGCUGUGAAAACUCGGGGCUUAACCCCGGGCCUGCAGUGGGUACGGGCAGACUAGAGUGCGGUAGGGGAGACUGGAAUUCCUGGUGUAGCGGUGAAAUGCGCAGAUAUCAGGAGGAACACCGGUGGCGAAGGCGGCACUCUGGGCCGGAACUGACGCUGAGGAGCGAAAGCGUGGGGAGCGAACAGG
rnacentral:rRNA from 1 species